AACAGAAGAAACUCUGAAGAAAUUGUUACAAGAAGAGGUCACCAAGGUCACCAAAUUCAUUGAAGGUGGUGAUGGUCAUUUAUUUGAAGAUGAAGAAAUUAAAAGACUGCUUCAGGGAGACACACCCGUGAGGAAGUUGCAAGCCAACAAAAAAGUUCAAGGAUCUAGAAGACGAUUAAGGGAAGGUCGUUCUCAGUGAAAAUCCAAAAACCAGAAAAAAAUGUUUAUACAACCCUAAGUCAAUAACCUGACCUUAGAAAAUUGUGAGAGCCAAGUUGACUUCAGGAACUGAAACAUCAGCACAAAGAAGCAAUCAUCAAAUAAUUCUGAACACAAAUUUAAUAUUUUUUUUUCUGAAUGAGAAACAUGAGGGAAAUUGUGGAGUUAGCCUCCUGUGGUAAAGGAAUUGAAGAAAAUAUAACACCUUACACCCUUUUUCAUCUUGACAUUAAAAGUUCUGGCUAACUUUGGAAUCCAUUAGAGAAAAAUCCUUGUCACCAGAUUCAUUACAAUUCAAAUCGAAGAGUUGUGAACUGUUAUCCCAUUGAAAAGACCGAGCCUUGUAUGUAUGUUAUGGAUACAUAAAAUGCACGCAAGCCAUUAUCUCUCCAUGGGAAGCUAAGUUAUAAAAAUAGGUGCUUGGUGUACAAAACUUUUUAUAUCAAAAGGCUUUGCACAUUUCUAUAUGAGUGGGUUUACUGGUAAAUUAUGUUAUUUUUUACAACUAAUUUUGUACUCUCAGAAUGUUUGUCAUAUGCUUCUUGCAAUGCAUAUUUUUUAAUCUCAAACGUUUCAAUAAAACCAUUUUUCAGAUAUAAAGAGAAUUACUUCAAAUUGAGUAAUUCAGAAAAACUCAAGAUUUAAGUUAAAAAGUGGUUUGGACUUGGGAACAGGACUUUAUACCUCUUUUACUGUAACAAGUACUCAUUAAAGGAAAUUGAA
rnacentral:lncRNA from 1 species